CGUCUUGCUGCUGGUAAACAGUGUAUAGUUGUAAGGAAGGCAUCUUGCUGCAGGUAAACAGCGUAUAGUGUGUAAGGACGGCAUCUUGCUGCAGGUAAACAGCGUAUAGUUGUAAGGAAGGCAUUUUGCUGCUGGUAAACAGUGUAUAGUUGUUAGGAAGGCAUCUUUCUGCAGGUAAACAGCGUAUAGUUGUAAGGAAGGCAUUCUGCUGCAGGUAAACUGCGUAUUAUUGUAAGGAAGGCAUCUUGAUGCAUGUAAACAGCGUAUACUUGUUAGAAAGGUCUCUUACUUUUGGGAAACUGCGUAUCAUUGUGAGGAAGGCAUCUUGCUGCGUAAAGUUGUAAGCAAGGCGUCUUGCUGCAGGUAAACAGCGUAAAGUUGUAAGGAAGGCAUCUUUCUGCAGGCAAACUGCGUACUAUUGUUUGGAAGGCAUCUUGCUGCAGGUAAACUGCGUACUAUUGUAUGGAAGGCAUCUUGCUGCAGGUAAACAGCGUACUAUUGUUUGGAAGGCAUCUUUUUGCAGGUUAACAGCGUCCUAUUGUUUGGAAGGCAUCUUGCUGCAGGUAAACAGCGUACUAUUGUUUGGAAGGCAUCUUUCUGCAGGCAAACUGCGUACUAUUGUUUGGAAGGUAUCUUGCUGCAGGUAAACUGCCAGCGUACUAUUGUUUGGAAGGCAUCUUGCUGCAGGUAAACUGCGUACUAUUGUUUGGAAGGCAUCUUGCUGCAGGUAAACUGCGUACUAUUGUUUGAAAGGCAUCUUGCUGCAGGUAAACAGCGUACUAUUGUUUGGAAGGCAUCUUGCUGCAGGUAAACUGCGUACUAUUGUUUGGAACGCAUCUUGCUGCAUGUAAACAGCGUACUAUUGUUUGGAAGGUAUCUUGCUGCAGGUAAACUGCGUACUAUUGUUUGGAAGGCUUCUUGCUGCAGGUAAACUUCGUACUAUUGUUUGGAAGGCAUCUUUCUGCAGGUAAACUGCGUGCUAUUGUUUGGAAGGCAUCUUGCUGCAGGUUAACUGCGUUCUAUUGUUUGGAAGGCAUCUUACUGCAGGUAAACUGCGUAUAAUUGUUAGGAAGGUCUCUUACGUCUGGGAAAUUGUGUAUAAUUGUUUGGAAGGCAUCUUGCUGCAGGUAGACUACGUAUAACUGUUUGGAAGGCCUAUUACUGCAGGUACAAUAACGUAUAAUUGUUAGGAAGGCAUCUAACUGAAGAUAAACUGCGUGUAAUUGUUAGGAAGGCCUCUUGCUUCAAAGGAACUGCGUUUAAUUGUUAGAAAGGUCUCUUAAUGCAGAUCAACUCCGUAUAAUUGUUGAGAAAGUUUCUUGCUGCAGGUAAACUGCGUAUAAUUGUCGUUUAAUACCAUAUUGUUUGUAUAAUAAUUAUUUUUUAAAUUAAAGUUGAAUUGGCUUUGUGGAUGAGUUCUGUAAAUCUGAGAUUGCAAACAAGUUUUUUGGCCUAAAUUAAAUUAGCCGCACCAUUUUUGACUUUAAGGAUAGGUAUCCUGCUGCAGAUAAACUUUGUUUUUUUGUUAAGGAGAAAAUACAACUACAGGGAAACUUUUCUUGAUUUGGAAAGCCUCGCACUACAGGUAAAUUGUGUACCCUUGUUAAUAAUGCGGCUUCUUAUUGCAAGUAAACAGUGCACCCUACUUCAGGAUGGAACUCUACAUUAAUGUGAUAUGUGUACCAGAGUUAAAAGCAGCCUCGCAUUAGAUGUAAACUGUCAGCUAUUGUAUAAUAUGCAGCCUCAGAAGAACUGUGUGCAAUUGGUUAGUAUGCAGCAUGUGAACUCGACAUCAUUGUUGAGUAUGCAGGCUAACAUGCAGAUGAUCUUUGUACCGUCGUUUACUAUGCAGCCUCGUAUAACAGGUGAACUGUGUACCGUUGUUUAUUGUGCAGCCUCACAAUACAGAUGAACUGUGUGCCAUUGUUUAGUAUGCAGCAUCACAUUACAGAUGAAUUGUGUACCGUUGUUUAGUGUGCAGCCUCACAAUACAGAUGAACUGUGUGCCAUUGUUUAGUAUGCAGCCUCACAUUACAGAUGAACUGUGUACCGUUGUUAAGUAUGCAGCCUCACCUUACAGAUGAACUGUGUACCGUUGUUAAGUAUGCAGCCUCACCUUACAGAUGAACUGUGUACCGUUGUUUAGUGUGCAGCCUCACAAUACAGAUGAACUGUGUGCCAUUGUUUAGUAUGCAGCCUCACCUUACAGAUGAACUGUGUGCCAUUGUUUAGUAUGCAGCCACACACUACCGAUGAACUGUGUACCGUUGUUUAGUAUGCUGCCUCACAUUACAGAUGAACUGUGUGCCAUUAUUUAGUAUGCUGCCUCACAUUACAGAUGAACUGUGUGCCAUUGUUUAGUAUGCAGCCCUACAUUACCGAUGAACUGUGUGUCAUUGUUUAGUAUGCAGCCUCACAUUACAGAUUUGUUUAGUAUGCAGCCUUACCUUACAGAUGAACUGUACUGUGUAUCGUUGUUUAGUAUGCAGCCCUACAUAACCGAUGAACUGUGUACAGUUGUUAAGUAUGCAGCCCUACAUUACCGAUGAACUGUGUGCCAUUGUUUAGUAUGCAGCCCUACAUUACCGAUGAACUGUGUGCCAUUGUUAAGUAUGCAGCCUCACAUUACAGAUGAACUGUGUACCGAUUUUAAGUAUGCAGCCUCACCUUACAGAUGAACUGUGUAUCGUUGUUUAGUAUGCAGCCUCACAUUACAGAUGAACUGUGUACCGUUGUUUAGUAUGCAGACUCACAGUACUGAUUAACUGUGUGCCAUUAUUUAGUAUGCAGCCUCACAUUACAGAUGAACUGUGUACCGUUGUUUAGUAUGCAGCCUCACAUUACAGAUGAACUGUGUACCGUUGUUUACUAAGCAGACUCACAUUACAGAUGAACUGUGUGCCAUUGUUUAUUAUGCAGCCCCACAUUACAGAUGAACAGUGUGCCAUUGUUUAGUAUGCAGCCUCACAUAACAGACGAACUGUGUGUCAUUGUUUAGUAUAUGCUGCCUAUAUUUCAGAUGAACACUGCACCAUUGUUUAGUAUUCUACCUCACAAAACAGGUGAUCCUUGUUCCGUCGUUUACUAUUGUAUUGCAGAUGAACUGUGUACCUUUGUUUAUUAUGCAGACUCACAUUACAGAUUUACUCUAUAUUAUUGUUAUACCCCCAUUACCAUUGGUAAUGGGGGCUAUAUAUGAGUCACUUUGUCGGUCGGACUGUCGGUCUGUCGGUCGGUCCCGAAAAUGUCAUCCGAUUUUCACCAAACUUGGUCAGAAGUUGUAUCUAGAUGAUGUUUAGGUCAAGUAUGCAUAUGGGUCAUGCAGGGUCGAAAACAAGGUCACGGGGUCACUUAGUGCGUUUUAAACCGAAAGUUUGUCCGGACCAUAACUAAUGUAUCGUUAGAUUUUAAAAUGACUUGGUACAUUUGUUCACAUCAUGGGAUGGUAUGUCAUGCAAAGAAGUACGUCGAUAUCUCCAAGGUCAAGGUCAUACUUUGAGUUCAAAGGUAAAAAAUGGCUAUAAAUGAGCUUGUCCGGGCUAUAACUAUGUCGUUCAUUGUGAGAUUUUGAAAUCAUUUGGCACAUUUGUUAACCAUCAUUGGACGGUGUGUAAUGCGAAAGAAUUACGUCGAUAUUUCCAAGGUCAAUGUCACACUUUGAGUUCAAAGGUCAAACAUGGCCAUAAAUGAGCUUGUCCGGGCCAUAACUAUGUCAUUCAUUUCGAGAUUUUAAAAUCAUUUGGAACAUUUCUUCACCAUCAUUGGACAGUGUGUUAUGCGAAAGAAUCACGUCGAUAUCUGCAACGUCAAGGUCACACUUUGAGUUCAAAGGUCAAAAAUGGUCAUAAAUGAUCUUGUCCGGGCUAUAACUGUGUCAUUAAUUGUAAGAUUUUUAAAUUGCUCUGUACAUUUGUUAACAACUAUUGGACGUUGUGUCAUGCGAAAGAAUUAUGUCGAUAUUUCCAAGGUCAAGGUCACACUUUGAGUUCAAAGGUCCAAAAUGGCCAUAAAUGAUCUUUUCCGGGCCAUAACUAUGUCAUUCAUUGUGAGAUUUUAAAAUUACUCGGUGCAUUUGUUCACAAUCAUUGGAUGAUGUGUCAUGCGAAAGAAUUACGUCGAUAUUUCCAAGGUCAAGGUCACACUUGGAGUUUAAAAGUAAAGAAUGGCCAUAAAUUAGCUUGUCCGGGCCAUUACUAUGUUAUUCAUUGUGAGAUUUUAAAAUGACUCUGUACAUUAAUUUGUUCACAGUCAUUGGGCGGCGUGUAAUGCGAAAGAAUUCAAGAAAUCAAAGGUCAAAAUGGCCAUAAAUGAUUAUGGCAUAAUAAUUUUAAAAAAAGCCAUAACUUAGCUUCUCUUGUUUUGUGAAGACAGCAUGCAAAAUAUUCUGUGUCAAUGCAGCAUGUGGGGGUAUACGUCACGUCUGUGAUAAAGCUCUAGUUUAGUAUGUUACCUCACAUAACAGGUUACCUGUGUACCUUCGUUUACAAUGCAGCCUCAUUGUUUAGUAUGCUGCCUCACAUUGCAGAUGAACAGUGUGCCAUUGUUUAGUAUGCAGCCUCAAAUUACAGGUGAACAGUGUGCCGUUGUUUAGUAUGCUGCCUCACAUUGCAGGUGAACAGUGUGCCAUUGUUUAGUAUGCUGCCUCACAUUGCAGAUGAACAGUGUGCCAUUAUCUAGUAUGCCGCCUUACAUUGCAGGUGAACAGUGUGCCAUUGUUUAGUAUGCUGCCUCACAUUCCAGGUAAACAAUGUGCCAUUGUCUAGUAUGCUGCCUCACAUUGCAGAUGAACAGUGUGCCAUUGUUUAGUAUGCUGCCUCACAUUGCAGGUGAACAGUGUGCCAUUGUUUAGUAUGCAGCCUAAAAUUACAGGUAAACAGUGUUCCGUUGUUUAGUAUGCUGCCUCACAUUGCAGGUGAACAGUGUGCCAUUGUUUAGUAUGCUGCCUCAUAUUGCAGGUGAACAGUGUGCCAUUGUUUAGUAUGCUGCCUAACAUUGCAGAUGAACAGUGUGCCAUUGUCUAGUAUGCCGCAUCCCAUGACAGGUGAACUGUGUGCCAUUGUUUAGUAUGCCGCUUCAUAUGACAGUUGAUCUGUAUACCGUUGUUUAUUAUACAGACUCACAUUACAGGUGAUAUGUGUACCGUUGUUUAGUAUGCUGCCUCACAGCAGGUGACCAGUGUACAAUUGUUUAAGAUGCAGACUCACAUUACAGGUGAUAUAUAUAUAUGUGUGUGUUGAGAAUGAAAUACAGCAAUUAAAUUGUUUCUGAAUGCAGUCUUACCCGGAAUGUGGCGUCACAUUACAGGUAAACUGUGUGCAAUUGUAAGGUAUGAUACAAAUUGCGACUUGAACUUUUAAAUUUGUACAGAAAUUGUCUUUACAUUUAUAGUUGCAUAUUACAUACCGGUAGAGCGUGUUUCUUUUGAAAGCAUGCAUUUGUAUUGAACUUGAAAUGCAUACAGUCAUCUGUUAACAACGGCCGGAAACAUUAAUAUAUAGGGACAUGACUAACAUGUAUCAAAAAGAGCAGUCACUUUUAACAUCAUAUUAUAAAAGAUAGAUAUAAAAAUGACUGUCAAAUAAACGUUUUACUAAAUAUAUAAAUUUUAUGUGAGAAAAUUAAUCUUAUGAGCUCCAUUCUUUUUCGAUGUACACUAUUAUAUCGUGUUAAAUUGAUGCAGGUUUUCUGACAAACACACUCUUUCCAUCUGCAUAUAUUAUGCAAAUAGUUCAACUUCAUAAACCAUCUUCAUUGCAAUAAAAACACUAUUUCUACUAGCUAUAAACGGCAAUGUCUUAAACAAUUUCAA